GACGAACGCUGGCGGCGUGCUUAACACAUGCAAGUCGAACGGAAAGGCCCUGCUUUUGUGGGGUGCUCGAGUGGCGAAAGGGUGAGUAACACGUGAGUAACCUGCCCUUGACUUUGGGAUAACUUCAGGAAACUGGGGCUAAUACCGGAUAGGAGCUCCUGCUGCAUGGUGGGGGUUGGAAAGUUUCGGCGGUUGGGGAUGGACUCGCGGCUUAUCAGCUUGUUGGUGGGGUAGUGGCUUACCAAGGCUUUGACGGGUAGCCGGCCUGAGAGGGUGACCGGCCACAUUGGGACUGAGAUACGGCCCAGACUCGUACGGGAGGCAGCAGUGGGGAAUAUUGCACAAUGGGCGGAAGCCUGAUGCAGCAACGCCGCGUGCGGGAUGACGGCCUUCGGGUUGUAAACCGCUUUCGCCUGUGACGAAGCGUGAGUGACGGUAAUGGGUAAAGAAGCACCGGCUAACUACGUG
rnacentral:rRNA from 1 species